AACGAACGCUGGCGGCAGGCUUAACACAUGCAAGUCGAACGAGCAGGGGCUGCUGGUGUGGGGUGCUAGAGGGGCGAACGGGUGAAACACGCGGGAGUAAGCUGCCCAGUACUGUAGGAUAACGUGAAGAAACGGGUAAUAAUACCGAAGAGCUGCUGGGGAUGGAUUGAGGGGUAUGGAAUGAUUCGGCGGUUGGGGAUGGACUUGGGGCGGAACUGCCUGUUGGUGGGGUAGUGGCUUACCAAGGCUUUGACGGGUAGCCGGCCUGAGAGGGUGACCGGCCACAUUGGGACUGAGAUACGGCCCAGACUCCUACGGGAGGCAGCAGUGGGGAAUAUUGCACAAUGGGCGGAAGCCUGAUGCAGCAACGCCGCGUGCGGGAUGACGGCCUUCGGGUUGUAAACCGCUUUCGCCUGUGACGAAGCGUGAGUGACGGUAAUGGGUAAAGAAGCACCGGCUAACUACGUG
rnacentral:rRNA from 1 species